AUAUUACUGGCGGGCACCGUGAUCAAAAAGGCGUCUCCCCAGGUCGGAGCGUUCCAUUGCACUCCGUUAGCUAAGCCUGGCGAUUGCCCCAAAUGUGGCAACUCGGGUACGCAAUGUUUAUGUGGGGACGCGUUCGCCAUCCCCU
rnacentral:snRNA from 1 species